rnacentral:rRNA from 1 species
AUUGAACGCUGGCGGCAUGCUUUACACAUGCAAGUCGAAUGGUAACAGGCCGCAAGGUGCUGACGAGUGGCGAACGGGUGAGUAAUGCAUCGGAACGUGCCCAGUCGUGGGGGAUAACGCAGCGAAAGCUGUGCUAAUACCGCAUACGAUCUGUGGAUGAAAGCGGGGGACCGUAAGGCCUCGCGCGAUUGGAGCGGCCGAUGUCAGAUUAGGUAGUUGGUGGGGUAAAGGCUCACCAAGCCGACGAUCUGUAGCUGGUCCGAGAGGACGACCAGCCACACUGGGACUGAGACACGGCCCAGACUCCUACGGGAGGCAGCAGUGGGGAAUUUUGGACAAUGGGCGCAAGCCUGAUCCAGCAAUGCCGCGUGCAGGAAGAAGGCCUUCGGGUUGUAAACUGCUUUUGUACGGAGCGAAAAGGCUCCCUCUAAUACAGGGGGCUCAUGACGGUACCGUAAGAAUAAGCACCGGCUAACUACGUGCCAGCCGCCGCGGUAAAAC